ACAGGACACUGAGCUUCUAUCAUGGCCGCAGCUAAGGAGAUGAAGCCACGUGCUGUUCCACAGGGCACCUGCUCAUCUGGUCAGGGUGGAGACACUGAUGAGAUGGUGUGGGUCGGGUUCCUAGACUCUCUUCCUGUCAUCGGCUCUGUUAAAAAGGCUGUGGAGUGGGUCCUGGCUCUGGGUGAAGGAGAUCCCAUGCUUGCUGCUGAGAAGCAGGAGAAGAUGAUGGUUGCACUGGGGCUGCAAAAGGAGACCAGUGGAAGAAGCUCUGCAAGAUCAUCUGGGUUCAGCUCAGCCGAUGAAGGGGAUGCAGGCGCGGACAUGGCGGGAACUGACGCUGCAGUUCAUGGUGUUCCACUCAUCAGCCUGUCUUCUUACAUAGAGAACAUGGCGUCUAAAGGGAAGAAAGGAUCCAGGUCUCAAAAAGCCGAUCAACAGCAGAAGAAAAUGAUUGGAAUUAAAAACAUGAUAGAGGAGGCGAUUCACUGUAUAGAUCCAGACUUCCACAUUGACGAGCAGCUUCUUAAAGACACUGGUGUACGUUCUGAAAGAGGAGAGCAUGUGAUCAACAACGAUGUUCUUAAAUUUCACAAAAAAAUCGAGAACUUCCUGACAAACAGUUGUGAUGUGGAGUGUCCCCUGGAUAAAAGUAUUCAGAAUGAUAUCAUGUAUGAGAUGGUGGCAGAGUUUGAACUAGAUGAGCCGUACAUCAAUGUGAACUCUGUGAUUUAUAGAGUUUAUUGUGGUGUGUUAAAAUUCGCUCUGUUUAAGCUGCUGGAACCAAACCAUUACAUGAUAUUCAGCUCCUUCCCAGCAGUUCAGAACUGGAUGAGAAAAAUGCAUAGAAGGACUGAAGAGGUGAACUGGAGAGAUGAGGCCGACCGUAUCAUUACUAACAUGAACGUCCACCAGGCUUAUGUGGAUCCUUUUGCGAAGGUGAAGUGGACUGGAAAUUCACCUGACAACCUUAGAAAGUUUGAAGCUGCUAGACAAAGUGUAGCGGUCAUGUACCAAGUCACAUGUGGAACUUUUUACAUAUUCAGAAUUCAUCAGUGUAGAUGUAGUUUCUGCUCUAUUGGUUUCUAGUAACUACAUUAAACAAAAUAAAGGUGGGAUUUUGUGUAUUUGUCUUACUCGC
rnacentral:lncRNA from 1 species